rnacentral:tRNA from 1 species
GGGCUGUUAGUUCAGUGGUAGAACGCCCGCUUUGCAAGCGGGAGGCCGUGGGUUCAAAUCCCACACAGUCCA